CAAUACAUGCUGACGAGCGGCGAACGGGUGAGUAAUGCUUCGGAAUCUACCCAAUGGUGUGGAAUAACCAGCCGAAAGGUUGGCUAAUACCGCAUGAGCCCUACGGGGGAAAGCAGGGGAUCGCAAGACCUUGCGCCGAUGGAUGAGCCGAAGUCGGAUUAGCUAGUUGGUAGGGUAACGGCCUACCAAGGCGACGAUCCGUAGCUGGUCUGAGAGGACGACCAGCCACACUGGGACUGCGACACGGCCCAGACUCCUACGGGAGGCAGCAGUGGGGAAUAUUGGACAAUGGGGGCAACCCUGAUCCAGCGACGCCGCGUGUGUGAAGAAGGCCUGCGGGUUGUAAAGCACUUUUAGUGGGGAUGAAAAAUUCAGGGCUAAUAUCCCUGGGUCUUGACCUAACCCAAAGAAAAAGCACCGGCUAACUCUGUGCCAGCAGCCGCGGUAAU
rnacentral:rRNA from 1 species